UAGAGUUUGAUCCUGGCUCAGAACGAACGCUGGCGGCAGGCCUCAAACAUGCAAGUCUAGGGGGUGUAGCAAUACAUCACCGGCGGACGGGUGCGUAACACGUGGGAAUGUACUUACUGGUUCGGAACAACUGCGGGAAACUGCAGCUAAUACCGAAUGAGCCCGAAAGGGGAAAGAUUUAUCGCCAGUAAAUCAGCCCGCGUUCGAUUAGCUAGUUGGUGAGGUAACGGCUCACCAGGGCUCCGAUCGAUAGCUGUUCUGAGAGGAAGAUCAGCCACACUGGGACUGAGACACGGCCCAGACUCCUACGGGAGGCAGCAGUUGGGAAUCUUGGACAAUGGGGGAAACCCUGAUCCAGCCAUGCCGCGUGAGUGAUGAAGGCCUUCGGGUUGUAAAGCUCUUUUACCCGGGAAGAUAAUGACUGUACCGGGAGAAUAAGCUCCGGCUAACUUCGUGCCAGCAGCCGCGGUAAUGCGAC
rnacentral:rRNA from 1 species